UUGUGCCCCCCCCCAGCGAGGUGCAGCUGACGGAGGAGGCGGUGCGGCGCUACCUGACGCGGAAGCCGAUGACCACCAAGGAUUUGCUGAAGAAGUUCCAGACGCGGCGCACGGGGCUGAGCAGCGAGCAGACCGUCAACGCCCUCGCCCAGCUCCUCAAGCGCCUCAACCCCGAGCGCAAGGUGAUCGGCGACAAGAUGCACUUCUUCCUCAAGGAGUAGGGCCGGGGGGGGCAGGGGGGGGGCACCCCAAAAGAGGGGGAGACACCCCAGAGAGGGGAAGCACCCCAAAAGUGGGAGAGCGCCCCACAAAUUGUGAGUCUUCCCAUUAUUGGGCUCCUCUCACUGGGAUUCCCUUUCUGGGAGCUCCUCCUUUAACUGGGGUCCCCCCCCCCCAAAGUGAGAGACCCCCCCACAAAUCAGGAGACAGACCCCAAAGUGGGAGAGCACUCCAAAAGUGGGAGAGCCCCCCCACAAAUUGGGAGGAUUCCCUGUAUUGGGAUCCCCGCCUCUUUAUUGGGCUCCUUGUUGGGCUCCUCUCACUGGGAUUCCCUUACUGGGAGCUCCUCCUUUAACUGGGAUCCCCUCUCAAAUUGGGAGACCCCCCAAAAGUGGGAGAGCCCCCCUCAAAUCAGGAGACAGCCCCCAAAGUGGGAAACCCCCCAAAAAUGGGAGGACUCCCUUUACUGGGAUCCCCUCCUCUUUAUUGGGAUCCUUCUUGUUGGGCU
rnacentral:lncRNA from 1 species